CAUUGCGGCUCGGGAUCCUGAUCUCGGGCCACACCUGACUGAGGGUCGGUUGAUAUCAUAGAAGCUAAAUUUGUUGUAUUGGGCGACGUCCGACUCGAGAAAUAAAUCGAGUCGAACGCGCUCCAAAGUCAAGAGAAAGACUCGGAGAAGGCCGCCUCUCCCGCCCCUUGGAUAAUUUACGGCACGAACGCCUCUAGUGCGGUAAACUCUAAGGGGUCAGGGAGAGGAGACUUGAACGGUCGUCGUGAGUACGUGUCUUUGUGUUUUUUAUAUACGGACCAACGAGAAAAGCUCGCAAGGUAGAAGUCGGUGGAGUAACGGAAUCCUUCUUAAACCGGAGGCGCCCGAGAAAGACCGCACUUCUGCGAAUUGCGGAUUGCCGCUCGCCGAUGAAAGAACAAGACUCUGAAAGCGCGCGUCCUGUGUCUCGUCGCUCGGUAAGACACUUGCUCCGUAAAAAGUACGAAUGAACUGAUUAAAAAGUACUAUUUUUUGAUCGCGACCUCAGAUCAGGUGAGACUACCCGCUAAAUUUAAGCAUAUUAAUAAGCGGAGGAAAAGAAACUAACAAGGAUUCCCUGAGUAACGGCGAGCGAAAAGGGAAAAGCCCAGCACCGAAUCUCGCACCGUG
rnacentral:rRNA from 1 species